rnacentral:rRNA from 1 species
GACGAACGCUGGCGGCGUGCCUAAUACAUGCAAGUAGAACGCUGAAGAGAGGAGCUUGCUCUUCUUGGAUGAGUUGCGAACGGGUGAGUAACGCGUAGGUAACCUGCCUGGUAGCGGGGGAUAACUAUUGGAAACGAUAGCUAAUACCGCAUAAAAUUGAUUAUUGCAUGAUAAUUAAUUGAAAGAUGCAAUUGCAUCACUACCAGAUGGACCUGCGUUGUAUUAGCUAGUUGGUGAGGUAACGGCUCACCAAGGCGACGAUACAUAGCCGACCUGAGAGGGUGAUCGGCCACACUGGGACUGAGACACGGCCCAGACUCCUACGGGAGGCAGCAGUAGGGAAUCUUCGGCAAUGGGGGGAACCCUGACCGAGCAACGCCGCGUGAGUGAAGAAGGUUUUCGGAUCGUAAAGCUCUGUUGUAAGAGAAGAACGGGUGUGAGAGUGGAAAGUUCACACUGUGACGGUAUCUUACCAGAAAGGGACGGCUAACUACGUGCCAGCAGCCGCGGUAAUACGUAGGUCCCGAGCGUUGUCCGGAUUUAUUGGGCGUAAAGCGAGCGCAGGCGGUUAGAUAAGUCUGAAGUUAAGGCUGUGGCUUAACCAUAGUAUGCUUUGGAAACUGUUUAACUUGAGUGCAGUAGGGGAGAGUGGAAUUCCAUGUGUAGCGGUGAAAUGCGUAGAUAUAUGGAGGAACACCGGUGGCGAAAGCGGCUCUCUGGUCUGUAACUGACGCUGAGGCUCGAAAGCGUGGGGAGCAAACAGGAUUAGAUACCCUGGUAGUCCACGCCGUAAACGAUGAGUGCUAGGUGUUAGGCCCUUUCCGGGGCUUAGUGCCGCAGCUAACGCAUUAAGCACUCCGCCUGGGGAGUACGACCGCAAGGUUGAAACUCAAAGGAAUUGACGGGGGCCCGCACAGGCGGUGGAGCAUGUGGUUUAAUUCGAAGCAACGCGAAGAACCUUACCAGGUCUUGACAUCCCUCUGACCGCUCUAGAGAUAGAGUUUUCCUUCGGGACAGAGGUGACAGGUGGUGCAUGGUUGUCGUCAGCUCGUGUCGUGAGAUGUUGGGUUAAGUCCCGCAACGAGCGCAACCCCUAUUGUUAGUUGCCAUCAUUGAGUUGGGCACUCUAGCGAGACUGCCGGUAAUAAACCGGAGGAAGGUGGGGAUGACGUCAAAUCAUCAUGCCCCUUAUGACCUGGGCUACACACGUGCUACAAUGGCUGGUACAACGAGUCGCAAGCCGGUGACGGCAAGCUAAUCUCUGAAAGCCAGUCUCAGUUCGGAUUGUAGGCUGCAACUCGCCUACAUGAAGUCGGAAUCGCUAGUAAUCGCGGAUCGGCACGCCGCGGUGAAUACGUUCUCGGGCCU